UCAAACUCCUGGGCUCAAGCAAUCCUCCCGCUUUGGCCUCCCAAAGCGCCAUAGUGAUUUUAUUUACAAAAUCUAAAGUUUAUCUUCAAAUCUCUCAGUCUUACUGUCUUCCCCAUGUUGGACAUCAUCCUUAGAAAGUACUGUCUCACUAACAUGUCAGCAAAGCCUGAGUUCUGUCCCCUCGCUUCCCCACACCCCCGCCUCUGGACAGCAUGAGCUUCACCACUCGUUCCACCUUCUCCACCAACUGCCGGUCCCUGGGCUCUGUCCAGGCGCCCAGCUAUGGCAUCCUGCCAGUCAGCAGCACAGCCAGCAUCUCUGCAGAUGCCGGGGGGGCUCUGGUUCCCAAAUCGCUGUGUCCCGCUCCACCGGCUUCCAGGGUGGCAUGGGGUCCGGAGACCUGGCCGCGGGGACAGCCAGGGGUCUGGCAGGAAUGGGAGGCAUCCAGAACGAGAAGGAGACCGUGUAAAGCCUGAACGACCUCCUGACCUCCUACCUGGACAGAGUGAGGAGCCUAGAGACCAUGAACCGGAGGCUGGAGAGCAAAAUCCAGGAGCACCUGGAGAAGAAGGCACCCCAAGUCAGAGACUGGAGCCAUGACUUCAAGACCAUCGAAGACCUGAGGGCUCAGAUCUUCUCAAAUACUGUGGACAAUGCCCACAUUGUUCUGCAGAUUGACAGUGCCCGUCUUGCUGCUGAUGACUUUAGAGUCAAGUAUGAGACAGAGCUGGCCAUGCGCCAGUCUGUGGAGAAUGACAUCCAUGGGCUCUGCGAGGUCACUGAUGACACCAAUGUCACUCAACUGCAGCCGGAGACAGAGAUCGAGGCUCUCAAGGAGGAGCUGCUCUUCCUGAAGAAGAACCACGAAGAGGAAGUAAAAGACCUACAAGCUCAGAUUGUCAGCUCUGGGUUGAUCGUGGAGGUGGAUGCCCCCAAAUCUCAGGACCUUGCCAAGAUCAUGGAAGACACCUGGGCCCAAUAUGACGAGCUGGCUCAGAAGAGCUGAGAGGAGCUGGACAAGUACUGGUCUCAGCAGACUGAGGAGAGCACCGCAGUGGUCACCACACAGUCUGCUGAGGUUGGAGCUGCUGAGAUGCUGCUCGUGGAUCUGAGAUGUACAGUCAAGUCCUUGGAGAUCGACCUGGACUCCAUGAGAAAUCUGAAGGCCAGCUUGGAGAACAGCCUGAGGGAGGUGGAGGCCCACUACACGCUGCAGAUGGAGCAGCUCAACGGGAUCCUGCUGCACCUGGAGUCCGAGCUGGCACCGACCCUGGCAGAGGGACAGCACCAGGCCCAGGAGUACGAGGCUGUGCUGAACAUGAAGGUCUACUGGAGGCUGAGAUUACCACCUACCACUGCCUGCUGGAAGAUGGCGAGGACUUCAGUCUUGAUGAUGCCCUUUACAGCAGCAACUCCAUGCAAACCAUCCAAAAGACCACCACCCGCCGGAUAGUGGAUGGCAAAGUGGUGUCUGACCAAUGACACCAAAGUUCUGAGACACUAAGCCAGCAGAAGCAGGGUGCCCUUUGGGGAGCAGGAGGCCAGUAAAAAGUUCAGAGGUCAUUGGAAAAAAAAAGAAAGUACUAUCUCACUAACAAAGCUAAAUAUAAUGAACUAUACAUUAAUAUUUUACUUAUAUUUUUCUUGUGCUUUAAAAUAUUUAACUUUAAUAUUGAACUGCAUUUCAGCAGAAAUAUAAAGUUGGGCUCUAAUUUUGUUUUCAAAUGUCUUCUCAGUUGUCCCAACAUUUCAUAUUGGUAAAUUCAUUGUACAUUCCCUUACCUGGAUUGCUUUCUGUUUUUCAUUUACUACUUGUACCUGCUUGGGUUCAACUGUACACUUUCUAGUCUGUUCUAUUCUUUGUUUCCAUGUUAGUUCUAGAUUACAUGUUAAUAUCUGAUAGGAUAAUCUAUCCCAGCUGUGAUUAUUUUUAAAUUUUUUUUUCCCCCAAUUUUCACAUGUUUAUAUGUUUCUUCUUCAAGUUGACCUUUAUAACUUUUUUCACAGUCACUGCUGGUGCCUCCUUUCCUUUGUCAGAUUAUAUUGGAUUUUUAUAUGACACAUAGAUUAAUUUUGGGAAAAUCAUUUUAUACUACUCUAGUUCCUAAGAGGGAAACUUUUCAGCUAUUUCUUUGUCUUAGGUUAUGUCUUAGUAUUGAUUCUUAAGUUCUUCAAGGUCUUUCCAGUCUAAAAUGCUAUGAAGGUUGGAUACAGUGGCUCACGCCUAUAACCCCAGCCCUUUGAGAGGCCAAAGCCAGAGGAUUGCUUGAGGCCAGGAGU